CCUACGGGAGGCUGCAGUGGGGAAUAUUGCACAAUGGGCGCAAGCCUGAUGCAGCCAUGCCGCGUGUGUGAAGAAGGCCUUCGGGUUGUAAAGCACUUUCAGCGGGGAGGAAGGCGGUGAGGUUAAUAACCUCAUCGAUUGACGUUACCCGCAGAAGAAGCACCGGCUAACUCCGUGCCAGCAGCCGCGGUAAUACGGAGGGUGCAAGCGUUAAUCGGAAUUACUGGGCGUAAAGCGCACGCAGGCGGUCUGUCAAGUCGGAUGUGAAAUCCCCGGGCUCAACCUGGGAACGGCAUUCGAAACUGGCAGGCUAGAGUCUUGUAGAGGGGGGUAGAAUUCCAGGUGUAGCGGUGAAAUGCGUAGAGAUGUGGAGGAAUACCGGUGGCGAAGGCGGCCCCCUGGACAAAGACUGACGCUCAGGUGCGAAAGCGUGGGGAGCAAACAGGAUUAGAUACCCUAGUAGUC
rnacentral:rRNA from 1 species